GUUUUAUUUUUUUUUCUAUUCUCAAUUGCUACAUAAAAACAAACUCAAACCAAGCAUGGUAGCAGACACCUGUAAUCCUAGCUAUUCUAGAGGCUAAGACAGGAGUUCAAAUUUCAAGUUCAAGGCCAGCCUGGGCAACUUAGCAAGAACCUGUUUAAGACAAAAUUAAAAGGGCUGGGGAUGUUUCUCGUUGGUAGAAUACUCCUGAGUUCAAUCCCCAGUACCACCAGGAAAAAAAAAAUCACGUCUAAAACAGACACCAUUUUACGAUUACCCUUCAUGAUUUUGUGGGUCAGGAAUCGCCAAAGGGCACAUUGAGAAAGACCUGUCUGUGCUCACAGUGUCCAGAGCCAUAGCUUGCGUGACUAAAGUGGCUAGAAGACCAAACCAUUGGGGAGUGACGGCCAGUCUCCACAUCUUCAAGUGGUCUCUGGGCCUCUCUCCACUUGCUCCCUCCAGCAUGAAGACCUCAAGGUAUUUGGACUUAAAUGGCUCAGAGUUCAAAGAGAUCCCAGAGGCUUCUUUUGACAUUGACAGGAGGUCACUUAUGCUCAUUGUCAAGUAAGUCACUAAGGUGGCCCAGAUUCAAGGGAGGGAAAUUCACUCCACCUCUCAAUGAGAAGAGCAGCCAAGAACUUACAGUUCUUUUAAUCUGCACAGAUCCCAUACUUUGAAAUCAUUAAAGGGAACAAAGAUGCAAGAAGAUGUGCAAAGCUCUGAGCUCCAUCCCC
rnacentral:lncRNA from 1 species